rnacentral:rRNA from 1 species
GAUGAACGCUGGCGGCGUGCCUAAUACAUGCAAGUCGAGCGAACAGACGAGGAGCUUGCUCCUCUGACGUUAGCGGCGGACGGGUGAGUAACACGUGGAUAACCUACCUAUAAGACUGGGAUAACUUCGGGAAACCGGAGCUAAUACCGGAUAAUAUAUUGAACCGCAUGGUUCAAUAGUGAAAGACGGUUUUGCUGUCACUUAUAGAUGGAUCCGCGCCGCAUUAGCUAGUUGGUAAGGUAACGGCUUACCAAGGCAACGAUGCGUAGCCGACCUGAGAGGGUGAUCGGCCACACUGGAACUGAGACACGGUCCAGACUCCUACGGGAGGCAGCAGUAGGGAAUCUUCCGCAAUGGGCGAAAGCCUGACGGAGCAACGCCGCGUGAGUGAUGAAGGUCUUCGGAUCGUAAAACUCUGUUAUUAGGGAAGAACAAAUGUGUAAGUAACUAUGCACGUCUUGACGGUAUCUAAUCAGAAAGCCACGGCUAACUACGUG